rnacentral:rRNA from 1 species
CUGCUUUGGGAUUCGCUAGCCUGCGAGUCGAGAGGGUUCGGCCCUCGGCUGACGGCUAGUAACACGUGGAUAAUCUGCCCUUAGGUGGAGGAUAAUCUCGGGAAACUGAGGAUAAUACUCCAUAGAUCUAGGAUGCUGGAAUGCAUCUAGAUUGAAAGCUCCGGCGCCUAAGGAUGAGUCUGCGGACUAUCAGGUUGUAGUCAGGGUAAAGACCUGACUAGCCUACGACGGAUACGGGUUGUGAGAGCAAUAACCCGGAGACGAUAUCUGAGACACGAUAUCGGGCCCUACGGGGCGCAGCAGGCGCGAAAACUUCACACUGUGCGAAAGCGCGAUGAGGGAAUCCCAAGUGUUUGCUCGUAAGAGUAAACUGUUUCUUUGUUUAAAACGCAGAGAGAGUAAGGGCUGGGUAAGACGGGUGCCAGCCGCCGCGGUAAUAUCUGCAGCUCUAGUGGUGAUCAUUAUUAUUGGGCCUAAAACGUCCGUAGCCGGUUUAGUAAAUGCCUGGGUAAAUCGUGUAGCUUAACUAUACGACUUCCGGGUAGACUGCUAAACUUGAGACCGGGGAGAGGCUAGAGGGUACUCCUGGGGUAGAAGGUG